UCCGCGACUUUCGCGACAUGGAACGGUUUAUCGAUGUACUAACUUAGAGAGAAAUCGAAAAUCGAAUAUCUUCGAUAAACGGUUUUGACGAGUGAAAGUGGAAAAAGUUUCAAAUAAGAAGAUUAGGAUCAAUUCAAAGCCGGCGGAAAGUAUCCUCCUGAAAACGACGAGGGAACAAGCUCGAACGAACCAAAGAGAAUUUCUCGAGAACCUGCGUGGAAUUACUAUCCGGUGGAGAGAUUGAAUCGUCAGGAAAGAAACUUGAGCACCAGGAAUUCGAGCACCGUCCACCCGAGCAUCGAAGCGAUAAUUACAAGGAAAUCGAGUGCGAACGAGCGGUGUUUAUCGGCUGCGAUCGGCCAAGCCACUGGCGGGCUAACCGAUAGAGAGAGAGGGAGUGAGAGGGGGGGGAGAGAAUCUGUGUCAGAGGUUGCUUAUGCCUCGGAUUUAUGGGUUUGAUUACUCGCCGUGGCGGCAUACGUGCCGCGAUUUUGUAUGGGUAAAUCGUGAUCCUCCACGCCUCCUUGCCACGGCCUUCCCUCCACCCCGCCCUGGCGAAACCCCGAUCGCGUAUAAAGUUAUCGCAUUCCCGGCCCCGUAAGUGUCCAUUGUCUACUUUCAGGCCCGCAUUAUGCCCGUUCCUUCUCUUCCCACCAACUUCCCAUCCUGCCCGCUGUAAUUUCACUUUUACAGCCGCGUAUCCAAUUGACCGGCGAUAAUCCCCGUGCGUGCCACCUCUCCUCCCUUUGCUCCGACGAAUCUUUACUCUAAAUCUGCUCGUUAGAUCCUAUGGAAAUUUAUGUGAUGAUUCUUCUCAAACUCCAAUGGAGUAUGCUUGCUGUCGUUCGAAAGUUUUGCGAGGAAGAAUCGUCGGAGAUUCGUUGAAAAAGUUUGUUGAGAUUUUUAAUUAUAUGUAUAAUUGUACCACAUCACUUUUAUAUUUCUUUCCACCUCGUUUCACAUUAUGGAUCACUCGAAACUUUAAAUUCUCAAUUUUUUCUCUCGUUCCAAGGUACUCACGGGCUGGAGCAAAGACGCAACCAUCGGAGCGAUGAUGGUGGAGAUGGAGGGGCACGAAACGGUCGAAAAACGGCGCAUCAAUCUUGCACCGGCUCUCCCGAAGCGUGGCCAAAGUCCCUCGAGGAGGAGGACGGUGUCGGGGAGAGACGUCGGUCGGCGAGAAGAUGAGAAACGUCGCGGGAGGUCCGGGAUUGAUGGACAUCCUCACCUACACGCCUGAUUAUUUGCCACCACACGCAGCUCGUAACCUGGCUUCGUAACCGCUCUUACGCGUGUUGCCACGGAUUCACACCGAUAAUCACGUCGAUCGUUAGCGCCUCAUUCACGCCUCAUCUCGACAAACGUCGUUGAUUUCCAUAUCCUUACCUCGUUCUCGAGCUUUCGAAGAAGAUUUUAGAUUUUCUUGGUUCUUGAGAUUAGCAUUGCUUUGGAAUUCAAUUUUUAAUUUAUAUGGAUAAUGCUUUGGGCUUCCAGUGUUUAAGUAAGUUAGUCUUGGAUUUCUUGAUUUUUGGAGAUAGCAUUGCUAAUUGAAGUUCAAUUUGGUUUUUAUUUAGGGUGAUGAAUAAUGCUUUGGAUUUUAUUCCUCAAAUACAUCUCUAUAUUUUCUCCUUUUUUGAGAUUAAUAUCGAUUUGAGAUUAAAGGAUUCUUCUUUACUCGAGAUCUUCCUAUCUUAUAGUUUCCAACAAGUUAAAGGAUUCUUCUUUAUGACUAAUCUCUCGAUUUUUAGUCUUUGAUCUUUCGCAUCUUUGUGACUUUAUCCCCUCUUUACAUCAUACAUUCCUUUUCCAAUUUUUAAAAUUCCCAAUAAUUCGUUUUUCAAAUCAUUCACAAAUUUCAAUUAUUCUUCCAUUUAAAUCAAGACUUUAUAUAUAUAUAUAUAAGUCAUCGACGAAUCAUUCCUCAUUUUCUUGCUUACGUGAUUUUUAAUCGAGUAAGUAAACGGGAGGUAAGCAGGUGUAACCGCAUUAUAAAAGCCGCUUCUCAACACCUCAUCUCUCAACGCGUUUCUUCGUUGAUGAUGCUCGAAACUGGUCGGCUCAUUAGUAUGUGAGGGGCUGGUUGCCACCUACCGGGCGGGGCAGCGGGUCAUUGAAACAAUGGUGUUAUGACUAGACAUCAUCAGAGAGUCCCGGUCUGAUCGAUUUCCUUGGAUGAUCGAUCGAUUCAACGUUUCUCCAUUUGCUGACCUCUCUCUCUCUCUCUCUUUCUCUCUCCUCGAAAGACUUCCUCUUCCUCGCGCUAUUUUCACCUCUCGUCCAUCGCCUAUGUACGCUAUAUAUAUAUAUGUGUAUAUAUAUGUACACCUUAGAAAAUGAACGCUGUGUAAUUACUCGAAGCUUUCUGUACACGUAAUCUCGAUGUAAAUUAGUUGGGUAAUUUAUUCGAGGGAAAUCAAUGAAGGGGCACACACAGGAUCGGUAUAAAUCAGACACGGAACGUUCCUUCUUUUUCUCUCUCUCUCUCUGUCUAACAGGAAGCAUCGCUUAUUCGAUCAAAUCGAUCGAUGGCUAAUAGACCUCUGCCGCGGGAGGAUCAUUAAUUAUGGCGUAAUACUACGUCGAGGAUGCGUCGAUCAACCUAAGAGAAGGGAACUGCUCCUCUCCUCUUUUAAGAAAAGAGAGAGAGAGAGAGAGAGGGAGUUAAGCCAGGUAACCAAAGUUUUGGGCUGGAAACGUUGCCAGGCCUGCGCAGCCCUCAUCCUCCUACCCCGAAAAAGGGUACAGAGUGCCAGUCAUAUAUUAGAGAACUGUUGGGGACACCUAACAAGCUGGCAGGACACGUUUCCCAGAAUCGGGGCUAACCGCCACCCUCUAUGGCUCUCUCCCACCCUCCCCAGGUUUUCUCCUUUUGUUUUCUCGAUAUUCCACCACGUAUUUCACGUCCAACUAGAAGCCAGCCGCGGAUAGAUAUUGUUUCGCACGCUCGUUCACGCUCCUCUCUUUCUCUCUCCCUUUAAACCGUUCAUCCUUCGGAUUUUUUAAUCAACUCGAAGAACCCGUUAUUCUACGUUUCAUACUUUUUCCAAUAAUUAUUUUUCAAUCGAUCUGAUCGCUAGGAGAAUUUUGGGAUAAAGUUUAUCGCACAAAUAGUCGCGAGACGAAUGUAUAGGAAGUAUAUAAGUAACGCGUUUGUAGAUAAUUCAAAGGUACGAUCAUUUAAUAAUCUCAGAUCCACGUAGUUUUAAUCUUCUUUCUUUUCGUUCGUCUCCUUUCGUUCUCUCCUUUUUUUUAUUGCUACUUUGUUCGAAGCGGAUGGCUUUUAAAGGUUUAAUUACCCAGGUUGAAGAGGUUUUCGCAACGGGAUAUUAAGGCGAGCGCGCAACUAUCGUCCCCCCUCCCUCCAGGCUUAUCGGUGAUUAUUAAUCCGGUAGUUCCCUUUUAUAUACAUGGUGAGCUGUGCAACCUGUUCGCCCAGGAAUUAUUAUUAACAAGAGCGCAAUCCCCGGGGCAUUAAACGAUAAAUAGAAACGGUAUCACUCGCGGCAUUAAACUGUCUAGAGAUUGAGCAAAAAAGCUGGUGUAUAUAGAGAGUCAUUUCUCUUUUUGAAAAAUAUAAUUGAAAAAGAGGAGUGAUUAAAGGUGAUAGGAUUAUGUUAAUUUAUAUACAUUUAGAACAUUUUUGGAGGAUAGAUUUUUCUUUAAUCUGUUAAAGUCUGAUAGUCUGCUAAAGGUAGAUUACUCUAUCUGUGUAAUGUAAAUUUAUAACAUUAAUUGCUACGUCGAUUCCCUUUAUUUAAUCGCUUGUAAUACUCGAUAGAUAAUCUUCAAUCGACAUUUUAUAUAUGUAUCUUCGUCACCUCUUCCUCAUACAAGGAAAAUUUCAAUCAAGUUUGUUCAAUUUGAUACGAUAUUUUCUUUUUUUCUUUUUUUUUUAAUACGUGUAAUAAUAAAUUCCUGUUUCCUGUUUUGAUCUUCAGAUUCUACUCUUCAAAGCGUGCAAUUAAAAUUAACUCAUCAUCGACGACGCCUCUCGCGGUGUUACUCGAUCCGGAACCGAGAUGAAAUUUCCACGUUGUUUUCCACGUUGUUUUAACCAAUGAUCUUCACUACAGAAGUUUCGAAAGGAAGAAAAAAGCAUCGAUUAGCUUUGUACUUGACACUGCCACAGAGAUCAUCUCUACCCGAUUCCUGGAACUGGAACUCGACAUUUUCAACUUUUGAGAGACAGUUAGAAACUUGAGAUUUGCAUCACGUAAAAUACAUUAUAAAAAGAUGCCUCUCCCUCUUUCUUUUCACCUAUUCAAUGAAAGAAGUCAUUAAUGAUUCUGAAUACCUAUAUAUCUAUACGUGUAAUUAACGCAAUCGAUGAUUUACGUAUGAAAAAUAUUCAGGAUCUUAAUUUCGCGUUUGUUCGGAAUUGCGAGCGGUUCGAGGACAUCCCUGGAUGGGUCAGGUAGCUCGGGACACUGGUAUCAGAAACACAUCGUGUCCUACACGGCUCGCGUCUGAUAACACUAUUACUCGAAACGAUUCACACGGAUCUCUUUUCCUUCCGCGAUUAGAGACCUGCCCGAGAUCCCGGGAUAAUGGGGAUCCCUCUUCGAAACGAAGUGAAUCGAAGAUAGCCGAGGAAAGGCUAUCUUUAUCAUCGUCGAUUUGAUCACGGUUGACAGGCUGUCCCUCCAACGCUUCCUUAUUCGUGGUAUCGUUGUUUUCACGCUUAGCCUAGAUGGCGCCACACGCGUAGCGCUACGAGUAACGUUGCGAGAUCCGGUGUGUAAUUCGUCCUCGAAAGUAUAUCAACGUUAUUUACUUUAAUUUGAAACGAGACACGGUUAUAGGUAGAUAGAAAUUUUAGGGAAUUUCGAGAUAAAUAAUUUUUAUAAGAAAAUCCAUCGGUAUGGUAAAUCCCUCGACGGAGUUCGAUCGAAACGAAAGAAAAACAUAACCUCGAAAUUUCGAAAUAGAGAAUUCGGGAAAAUAGACUUUUCCUAGCGUUUGCGAGGAUUUACGCGAAAAAAAAGGAAAAACGAUAUCGGUAAAUACGUGUUACCAGUAUUCUGGCAAAGAUCUGUGGUUUAUCGUGAGGAUCGGAGAGGAAUCUCGAGGAUAGAAAUCCUCGGCCGAUGACAAUAUGGGCUCGCGAGGAGGAGGAGGGGAGCAAAGGUAACGAGCGGCGGUGGAGAGAGGGGUCAAGGGUAAGGCAUUCCACCAGUUGACACUCUAGACUGGCCCGAAUGUUUCGGAUGGUUUCUCUUCUCGACCUUUCGUCCCGUCCCUGGUGCAUCCCGUCGCCACGGGUUUCCAGCUGGAUCCGACACGCCGUGUUACGGGCCCCGUGAGGCCCACGAGAGACAACAGAGCGAGAGAGAGAAAGAGAGAGAGAGGAGGAGCCGUGCGCCGUGUGGCACGGUUCGUGUUCUCGGUUCUCGGAAUCGCUAAUUAGUGUCCUCCUUGUUUUAUUCCCAUGCCGGGCUCGUCCUCUCCCUGAAAAUCCUUGUCCACGACUAGCCUCCCCUUUCCUGCCUUCCUCGUGCCAUCCUUGCGUUUGACGCGUUCCCUUGACGAUUUCAUCGCGGAUCCUGGAAUGGAGAUGCACUCGUCUUUGGAAAUGGAGAGUCUGUUAUGAGGUCUUUGAAGAUGGUAGAAAUUGUACCGUUGCUUUAGAGUAUCGAUAUAAAGCUCGAAGUUCAGAAAUUUUAAUGUUUCUUUUUUCUUUUUUCGAUGUAGAUGAUGCAGCUGAUCCUUGAACUUGGAAAUAGAGAAUUUGUUAUGAGAUCUGUGACGAUAAAUGAAGAAACGUACAGAUGAUGGAGCUGAUCCUUGAACUUGGAAAUAGGGAAUCUGUUAUGGGAUGUUUGAUGAUAAGUGAAGAAGCAUAGAGAUAAAAAUUGUAUCAUUGUCUUAAUUAGUUUAAAGUAUCAAUAUAAGACUUUUUAGGAAGUUUUAACGUUUCUUUUUUUUUUUUUUUUGAUAUAGAUGAUGGAGCUGAUCCUUGAACUUGGAAAUAGAAAAUUUAUUAUGGGAUGUUUGACGAUAGAUGAAGAAACAUAUAAAUAGAGAGAUUGGUGGUAAAUUGAUAAAAAUUUUUGUCUAUCUCCAAUCUUUUUUUUUUCAUAUACAUACUGUUGUUGAUGGAUAGAUGAAUGGGAUCUUUAAGUUAAAAUUAUUGACUCGACUUUAAGGAGAAGAUCUUGCGAAUCAUAAUACCAUAAUAGAUCCAAAUUUAUUUAUCUUCUCAUUAACAAUUUUACCGUAGAAUCUAAAUAAAUCUCUGAACGAGUGCAUCGAGUCAAGGAAGAUUCGCAAAGAUUCUUAUUCUUUAUUGGAAAUAUUAAAGGUCCAUUCCAUUAUAUGCAAAAUUAGUUGGCGGGCAAUCGUCAUCGUUGUCGUCACUGACCCAGGCCGCAAGAUAACGACGAACGUUACGAGCAGAUCGGUUUGUCUUUCCGGGACGAUUCGAUCGCGAGUUCUAUCAAGGAAGAAGAGUCGAGGGAAUGCCAAGCGUUCCCGUACGAGCGGAGAUCGAAAGGUUUAUCGAUUUCUUCAACGAAUUUCUCGAAUGCUUUACACUUCUUCACCAACCUUCACACCUCCCCGAUCUAUCGAGCCAUCUCUCCUCCCCUCCCCCUCCACUCGUGGAUUUGAUCCACGGACCCAGAUCCCCCGAAACGGGCCCUCUUUCUCGGAAUCACUAAUUAGCGUCCUUCUCGCUUUCUUCUUUUCCAAUCAGCCGGACAGUCGUCGAAUCUGAUCGAAGAGAGCAAGGAGCCAGGGCCAGACUGACUGACGCCUUCGCAUAAUUUACGACACGGUAACGUUCGAUCCAUCCACGAAAAACUGAACCUCGUUGAUGGAAGCAAGGGGAAGGAAGGACCCGUUUCAAGAAUCCGUUUCCAUAUAAUUACGAUCUUUCGGAUUGAAUCGGUCUGCAUUUCGAUCUCUAUCGUGUAAUUAUUCCUAUUUCAAAAGAGUUUCGUUGGAAAAGAAGAUGGAGUUUGUAGGAAGAGGAUUGUUGAGGGAAGUUUGAUCGAAGUAAUUUCCUUUGAUUCGAGGAUACUUUCGAAAUAAGGAUCAAAUUUUUAUCAAAAAUGUUUUCACAAGAAACGCGUACAUAAAAGAGAGAAAGAAAUGGUAAUCUUUCUCCGAGCUUGGAGAAAAUGAGCGGAUGGUCGAAUCGAUUGGCUGUUUCAAUUGCAGUGGAAAGCAAGCAAGGGAGAAGGAGGCGAAAAGCCGGAAUAAAAAAUGGGAAACGGUGGGAUCCUAAGUGACACGUUUCGAGAAGGAUGUUGAAGACGAUAUUAAGAGCAGCCGAAAGUAUGCGGAGCGUAUCUGUCGCGCGACACGCCGCACGGGCGCACAUAUCUGCACGUCCUUGUUUGGCAAUAAGAACUGCCUCGGAAUAAAGCAGAAACGUGACCGGCGCUCCUCGCAAUUUACGUCAAAAGCGGCGUCGUGGAUUCCCGCAUACCGAAUAACGACGUCGUCGAGAAUAAUGUCGCCUAUGUAGAUUCGAUCCCGAUAGCAGCAAAAUACCACGCCGGUAUCUCGCCGCAGUCCCUCACUCUGGUCGAAAGGAAAAAGAAAAAAAAAGGCAAAAAAGAAAAAAAAGAAGGAAAAAAAGGAAACAAGAAGAA